GAUGAACGCUGACAGAAUGCUUAACACAUGCAAGUCGAUGGGGAAGUGGUGCUUGCACCAUGGCAACCAUGGCGGACGGGUGAGUAACGCGUAAGGGACUUACCUGCAGGACUGGGAUAACAGGGGGAAACUCCUGACAAGACCGGAUAAUGUCAUGGAGCUGCAUGGCUUUAUGAUGAAAGGAGACGCCUGCGGAGAGCCUUGCGUCCUAUUAGCUAGUUGGUGAGGUAAUGGCUCACCAAGGCGAAGAUAGGUAGCCGGCCUGAGAGGGCGGACGGCCACAAGGGGACUGAGAUACGGCCCUUACUCCUACGGGAGGCAGCAGUGGGGAAUAUUGGACAAUGGGGGCAACCCUGAUCCAGCAAUUCUGUGUGCACGAAGAAGGUUUUCGGAUUGUAAAGUGCUUUCAGCAGGGAAGAAGUAAGUGACGGUACCUGCAGAAGAAGCGACGGCUAAAUACGUG
rnacentral:rRNA from 1 species